rnacentral:rRNA from 1 species
GACGAACGCUGGCGGCGUGCUUAACACAUGCAAGUCGAGCGGUAAGGCCCUUUCGGGGGUACGACGAGCGGCGAACGGGUGAGUAACACGUGGGUGACCGGGUNCCCUCAGCUCUGGGAUAAGCCUGGGAAACUGGGUCUAAUACCGGAUAUGACUCCAUGACGCAUGUUGUGGGGUGGAAAGCCUUGUGCGGCUGAGGAUGGGCCCGCGGCCUAUCAGCUUGUUGGUGGGGUGANGGCCUACCAAGGCGACGACGGGUAGCCGGCCUGAGAGGGCGACCGGCCACACUGGGACUGAGACACGGCCCAGACUCCUACGGGAGGCAGCAGUGGGGAAUCUUGCGCAAUGGGCGAAAGCCUGACGCAGCGACGCCGCGUGAGGGAUGACGGCCU